rnacentral:rRNA from 1 species
AUUGAACGCUGGCGGCAGGCCUAACACAUGCAAGUCGGACGGUAGCACAGAGGAGCUUGCUCCUCGGGUGACGAGUGGCGGACGGGUGAGUAAUGUCUGGGGAUCUGCCCGAUAGAGGGGGAUAACCACUGGAAACGGUGGCUAAUACCGCAUAACGUCGCAAGACCAAAGAGGGGGACCUUCGGGCCUCUCACUAUCGGAUGAACCCAGAUGGGAUUAGCUAGUAGGCGGGGUAAUGGCCCACCUAGGGGACGAUCCCUAGCUGGUCUGAGAGGAUGACCAGCCACACUGGAACGGGAACACGGUCCAGACCCCUACGGGAGGCAGAAGUGGGGAAUAUUGCACAAUGGGCGCAAGCCUGAUGCAGCCAUGCCGCGUGUAUGAAGAAGGCCUUCGGGUUGUAAAGUACUUUCAGCGGGGAGGAAGGCGGUGCGGUUAAUAACCGCGCCGAUUGACGUUACCCGCAGAAGAAGCACCGGCUAACUCCUUGCCAGCAGCCGCCGUAA